GACGAACGCUGGCGGCGUGCCUAAUACAUGCAAGUCGAGCGGACGAUUCGAAAGCUUGCUUUUGAAUCGUUAGCGGCGGACGGGUGAGUAACACGUGGGCAACCUGCCCUGUAGACGGGGAUAGCACCGAGAAAUCGGUGCUAAUACCGGAUAACACGAAAUGUCGCAUGACGUUUCGUUGAAAGGCGGCGCAAGCUGCCGCUACAGGAUGGGCCCGCGGCGCAUUAGCUAGUUGGUGAGGUAACGGCUCACCAAGGCGACGAUGCGUAGCCGACCUGAGAGGGUGAUCGGCCACACUGGGACUGAGACACGGCCCAGACUCCUACGGGAGGCAGCAGUAGGGAAUCUUCCGCAAUGGACGAAAGUCUGACGGAGCAACGCCGCGUGAGCGAAGAAGGCCUUCGGGUCGUAAAGCUCUGUUGUUAGGGAAGAACAAGUAACGUAGUAACUGACGUUACUAUGACGGUACCUAACGAGAAAGCCACGGCUAACUACGUG
rnacentral:rRNA from 1 species